rnacentral:sRNA from 1 species
AAUAGCGGAUCCUCGACUAAAACCUGCCACAUCGUGUGGCAAACGCCGAGGUCAACCCAUCCUGGGCA